ACUCUAGAGGGUUCUGUGGCCAGCUGGUCAGCAGGAAGUUGAAACCUCGUGAACAGAUUGCAGCCCAGAUUACAGGAAUAUGGUGAGAAAGAAAGAACAAUCCAACUUUGCUUAAUCAGCUUUGAGGAGUGCAAGCCAUCUUAUCUUCAC